UAAUGCCUAAAGGGGUGGAACCACUUUGUGAAAGUGGGGGUGGUUACCCAGUUUUUAGGAAGAGAGGUUUCCUAGUUUUUUUUGGCUUUUAAAGAGAAAGAAGAAGGUGUUCAGAAAAGAAAAAAGAAGAGGUAAAAAGAUAGAGAGAAAAAGAGUAAAGGAGAGAACAUUGACAAAGACAAACACAGAGAAAGACACCCAGAAAACAAAAAAAGCAUAAAGAAAGGAUAAAAGGUAUAGUGAAUCAGAAAGAGUACACUGAAAAAAAGAAAAUUUCACCAUAGCUUUAUAAAAGGUUAGUGUCUCUUUCGCUUAUUCAUCUUCAUCCCCUUUUAUGUUAAGCAUUCAAAACCUGUG
rnacentral:lncRNA from 1 species